GACAGUUCCAUCAUUUGUUCCUUUCGAUCUCAAACACAUUAUCAGCAUGCUCCCGCACAGUGAUUCCAGUGACGCACUAGCUGCGAUGGCGUUGGCGCAUGUCCAGACCGCAUCCUGGCGGUGGCGUCCGAGGCCAAGACUCUCGUCUGGCCAUCCGUAGUGAUUUCCUUUGGUGCGCACGCAACUAUCCCGAGGGAGAUGCCACGCGAGAAGAACGGGGCGAAUAGCAGCACCCGCGAGGGAGAGCAGCGGCAGCUCCGAUGCAUUCAAAGUCCAAGAUGGGAAGAAGAAGAGAAUCAGAGACUUGAGUCAAGCACCAUGCAAAUUGGAGUACCAACUUCAUCUAAUUGCUACAGAAAAACAAUGUGCGACUUUUCAAUUUAAUUCAUGGCUACACAAAUUUGCUUUACCAUGAACAAAAUCUUGCCUUACACUGGAUAAAGGAAGAACGCAUCCACAGCAAGAAACAUCGCCUGGCUUCAGUCCCCCGCUGGACCAAGACGCCGGCUCCAGUGGCUUCAUCCCUACCGCACCGAAGAAUCACACCUCCGCGUUGAAUCCUGCCGCCACCAAUGGCGAUGGCAUUUGCUUCCCCUGGCCUCGGCCCCGCGCUAGACCAGGACACCAGAAUCACCAGUUUCGCAGCCGCUCGGCGACGGGGUCGCUGCCCGCACGAAGACGCGCGUAGGCACCCGAGGCCGCGGCUCCUGGACCAUCCUCCGUGGUGACGCCCCUGGCGCCCGACGCGGCCACCACAUCUAACGCGGAGUGACUUCGUCCAUGGACUCGCCUGUCGAGGGAAUUGUCGCGGCUUCCGGUCGGCGACGCCUGAAGUGGGCACGCCGCAGCGGCUUGUCCCUCCGGCAUCGGUGACUUGCUCCAUGCGCGUCAGCAAAGCAAGGCAAGGUGAGGCGGUGCAGUCUGGCGUGGCUCCUUCGGGCGCGCAUGCUGCGGUGUCCUUCGGCCUCGGCAACAGGGGUCGGGGGAGCGGUUGCUCCAAGGGAGACGAAACCG
rnacentral:rRNA from 1 species